rnacentral:rRNA from 1 species
CACGUAGGGUGCGAGCGUUGUCCGGAAUUAUUGGGCGUAAAGAGCUCGUAGGCGGUGUGUCGCGUCGGCCGUGAAAACCUGCAGCUUAACUGUGGGCUUGCGGUCGAUACGGGCAUCACUGGAGUUCGGCAGGGGAGACUGGAAUUCCUGGUGUAGCGGUGAAAUGCGCAGAUAUCAGGAGGAACACCGGUGGCGAAGGCGGGUCUCUGGGCCGGUACUGACGCUGGAGACGGCGAAAGCGUGGGGAGCGAACAGG